CUACGGGACGCUGCAGUGAGGAAUAUUGCACAAUGGGGGGAACCCUGAUGCAGCAACGCCGCGUGGAGGAUGACGCAUUUCGGUGUGUAAACUCCUUUUAUAUGUCAAGAAAAUGACGGUAGCAUAUGAAUAAGCACCGGCUAACUCCGUGCCAGCAGCCGCGGUAAUACGGAGGGUGCAAGCGUUACUCGGAAUCACUGGGCGUAAAGGACGCGUAGGCGGGUUGGAAAGUCAGGUGUGAAAUCCUACAGCUUAACUGUAGAACUGCACUUGAAACUUCUAAUCUAGAGUAUGGGAGGGGGAGAUGGAAUUAGUGGUGUAGGGGUAAAAUCCGUAGAUAUCACUAGGAAUACCUAAAGCGAAGGCGAUCUCCUGGAACAUUAUUGACGCUCAGAUGCGAAAGCGUGGGGAGCAAACAGGAUUAGAUACCCUAGUAGUC
rnacentral:rRNA from 1 species